rnacentral:rRNA from 1 species
AUUGAACGCUGGCGGAAUGCUUUACACAUGCAAGUCGAACGGCAGCACGGACUUCGGUCUGGUGGCGAGUGGCGAACGGGUGAGUAAUGUAUCGGAACGUGCCCAGUCGUGGGGGAUAACGUAGUGAAAAUUACGCUAAUACCGCAUACGAUCUAUGGAUGAAAGCGGGGGAUCGCAAGACCUCGCGCGAUUGGGGCGGCCGAUAUCAGAUUAGGUAGUUGGUGGGGUAAAGGCCCACCAAGCCAACGAUCUGUAGCUGGUCUGAGAGGACGACAAGCCACACUGGAACGGGGACACGGUCCAGACUCCGACGGGAGGCAGCAGUGGGGAAUUUUGGACAAUGGGCGAAAGCCUGAUCCAGCCAUUCCGCGUGCAGGAUGAAGGCCCUCGGGUUGUAAACUGCUUUUGUACAGAACGAAAAGGUUUCUACUAAUACUAGGAGCUCAUGACGGUACUGUAAGAAUAAGCACCGGCUAACUACGUGCCAGCCGCCGCCGUAA